rnacentral:piRNA from 1 species
UGUAGAUAGAUGGUGACCUGG